rnacentral:rRNA from 1 species
AAAAGAAACCAACCGGGAUUGCCUCAGUAACGGCGAGUGAAGCGGCAAGAGCUCAAAUUUGAAAGCUGGCUCCUUCGGGGUCCGCAUUGUAAUUUGCAGAGGAUGCUUCGGGUGCAGCCCCCGUCUAAGUGCCCUGGAACGGGCCGUCAUAGAGGGUGAGAAUCCCGUAUGGGGCGGGGUGUCUGCGUCCGUGUGAAGCUCCUUCGACGAGUCGAGUUGUUUGGGAAUGCAGCUCUAAAUGGGUGGUAAAUUUCAUCUAAAGCUAAAUACUGGCCGGAGACCGAUAGCGCACAAGUAGAGUGAUCGAAAGAUGAAAAGCACUUUGAAAAGAGAGUUAAACAGCACGUGAAAUUGUUGAAAGGGAAGCGCUUGCAACCAGACUCGCUCGCGGGGUUCAGCCGGGCUUCGGCCCGGUGUACUUCCCCGCGGGCGGGCCAGCGUCGGUUUGGGCGGCCGGUCAAAGGCCUCCGGAAUGUAGCGCCCUUCGGGGCGCCUUAUAGCCGGGGGUGCAAUGCGGCCAGCCUGGACCGAGGAACGCGCUUCGGCACGGACGCUGGCAUAAUGGUUGUAAACGACCCGUCU